GACGUAGGGGGCGAGCGUUGUCCGGAUUUAUUGGGCGUAAAGAGCUCGUAGGCGGCUCGUUGCGUCGGCUGUGAAAACCCGCAGCUCAACUGUGGGCUUGCAGCCGAUACGGGCGGGCUGGAGUUCGGUAGGGGAGACUGGAAUUCCUGGUGUAGCGGUGAAAUGCGUAGAUAUUGGGAGGAACACCGGUGGCGAAGGCGGCCCCCUGGACCGGUACUGACGCUGAGGCGCGAAAGCGUGGGUAGCAAACAGG
rnacentral:rRNA from 1 species